AUUGAACGCUGGCGGCAUGCUUUACACAUGCAAGUCGAACGGUAACAGGCCGCAAGGUGCUGACGAGUGGCGAACGGGUGAGUAAUGCAUCGGAACGUGCCCAGUCGUGGGGGAUAACGCAGCGAAAGCUGCGCUAAUACCGCAUACGAUCUAUGGAUGAAAGCGGGGGACCGUAAGGCCUCGCGCGAUUGGAGCGGCCGAUGUCAGAUUAGGUAGUUGGUGGGGUAAAGGCUCACCAAGCCGACGAUCUGUAGCUGGUCUGAGAGGACGACCAGCCACACUGGAACUGAGACACAGCCCAGACUCCUACGGGGGGCAGCAGUGGGGAAUUUUGGACAAUGGGGGCAACCCUGAUCCAGCAAUGCCGCGUGCAGGAAGAGGGCCUUCGGGUUGUAAACUGCUUUUGUACGGAACGAAACGGCUCUGGUUAAUACCCGGGGCUAAUGACGGUACCGUAAGAAUAAGCACCGGCUAACUACGUGCCAGCCGCCGCCGUAAGAC
rnacentral:rRNA from 1 species